rnacentral:lncRNA from 12 species
CGGUCAGCAAAGAGUCAGACUUUGACAGGUGCUACUGAUUCAGAAGGAUAUGUGGACUUUAUGCCUCAGUCUACAGUUUGUUGAAGGACGACUCGUAUCAGACAUAGACUUCCUUUUAGCCUUUAGGUCUGCCACAGCAGAAACCUGGACUCUCCGCAGAGCUGAUUGGAUCAACUGAGGUGUGAAUUAUGUUUAAUUAGAACCUGUCACUUAGAAAUUGUGCCUCCAUUGAUGGCCAUCAUUGGUGGUUCAAUUGACCGUGGACAUUGGUUGGCUAUACAUCCUUGAAAUGGAAGGUUCCCUACUAAAAUUAAAUCACCUACUCAAAGAGUUUCUUCUGCUUAACUUUUCUGAAACUAGGAAAAACUGAGAGCUUUUCCCCGAAGAUCAGGAACAUGACAGGGAUGUCCACUCUCACUAUUGCUAUUCAACACAGUACUAAGUCCUAGCCUCAGCAAUCAGACCAACAAAAAGAAAUAAAAGGCAUUCAAAUUGGCA